GAGUGGAAAGGAACACCUAGCUCUAAGAAAAAGGGGGAAGUCAGCCUGACCUGAAGGCACACUCCUGUCAUCAGGGAGCCAAGGCAAGGGGAUCAGAACUUCAAGAUCAGCAGGACAUUCCUUUCUUGCUUCCAUCAUCUCUUUUCUAGAAUCUGCUUGCAGCUGUGUAGAUAGAAUCAGGGGACUCUUUCGUUGGAAUCCAGAAUCCCUGACUCUUAAAUAAAAGGAUUAUGGGGCUCUUGUCCAUCUGAACUAUGUAAUGAAGCUACAUGCUUUUAAAAUAGCUGCUCUUUCCAAGCAUCUACCACCCUGAGAAGAUGCAGAAAAUGAAGAUCAGAUAAGAGGCUUUUCUAAAGGAACUCAUCUAGAAAGCAUCGGACUAGAAUCUCACCCUCUGCCUGCUUCUGAAGCAGAGGUCUUGCCCCUAUAUGCUGCUGAGUUCAAUGAACAGAGGCUGCCCUGACUUCAUGGUUUACAAGGUAAGAUUUAGAAGGCCUGUGACGUCAAGAUCUAUAGACCAACUGUGAUGAGAAGCAGUCGGGGCAGCCUUUGCAAUGUGGGUGAGUUCUCUGCUGGUUUGUGGUAGUGGUUUCUCUUGGGCUCUUUGCACAGGGGCAGCACCAAUGCCCUGUGCUAUGGUCCACCAAUGUGUUGGCUCUCUCUCUCCCUUGCAUAGCAGGUCUGGGUUUGGAGUACAAAGUUGAAGGAUGCUGUAAGAAGACACACAGGCAUCCUUAUCAGCCAAUUCCCUGAAGAAAUGGGACCCUGAAGAGACACCCAGAGCUAUAACCCAGUAGCAGCAGACAAUGGCCUCGGCACAGAUUCAAGUCCCUACAUCCCUCCCACGCAGCCUUAAACCGACAUUCCCUGGGGAGAGUUACUAAGCGGGGGCCUUAUGUGAAUUGGAUGUUUAGGACCGUGCCCUUUGCUAUAUUUAAUAGGAAUGGGAAAAAGGUCCUUUAGCAAGCAGCAUGUCGAAGCAGAUAUUCCCACAACCCCCUAAGCUGCAUGCAUCAGAGCAGAGGAGAAGAGUAGCCUGCUGCAUGCGGCAGGAAACUUGGGGAAACUUUGCUUGGAUUCCUCUCCUUCUUCAUACACAGAUAGAUAAUAGAUGGACAGACUGAUAAUUGUUUCCUGCAAAUGGAAUCCAGGAAAAGAGGUAUCAAAGCUAAGGCUACUGAACACAGGAAGGCCAGGUAUUAGGUUAAGUAAUACAGGAGAGGAUGGGGGGAGGGGGAGGGAGAAGGAGGAGGAACGGAGGCUGGGAAAAUUGGUAUGAAAAGAAGGAAAUGGCAAAGAGAAAAAGGAUGAAAAGGCAAUUCUAAUUUGAGGCACAAGGAAAGUAAAGAAGGCAGGCUAAAAGAGGGAGAGUUGAGGUGGUCUGAAAAAAGUGCAAAGCCCAGGGUCCUGAGAAACUUCCGCGAGAAAGGGGGCGCGGCGCUGCCCAGCCCAUGUUUGGGCAGAUUAAUGGAGUCGUGGCGGCUCGGGCUCUUGAGUCCUGCCUUGGGAGGGACAGUAUCUGUUUAGAUUUGUGUCUAAAUUUAAACCCCGAUCCGGCCUCCCUCUCUGCUCCCCUCCACUCCCCUCCCCUCCUCCUGCGUCCCUCGGUCCCUCCCUCCCUCCUCCUCCUCCUUCCUCGUUCUCUGGCGCAGGGCCCCCAGCUGGGGCAGUCCCGCAGCCGAGUGCAGCCAGGCGCGCGCCGCCGCCCACUCGCCCUGUGCCCGCUACAGCCCCGAAAGUGACCCGGGCUGGGAGCCGAGGGGACAGCGGGGAUCGUGGGCUCUUAACCCGAGAGAGCGGGCGUAUCCGCAGCCGGAGGAAGACUACCUGGAGGACAUGGAGGUAAAAGACCGGCGGGGACACGGGCCUGGGGGAGAGGGAGGUCAGAGCGCUCCUGCCCAGGUCGCCGUUCCUGCUCUCAGCAGGGAGCACGCAGCCGAAAGGUCGCGUAGGCCAAGUUGAGAAAGGCUGGUCCUUGCUCCUCGGAGACCCCUGUGGGCAGGCGUGGGCUUGUCAGGAAAGGACUUCAGGCGAAGGAGGGGCCUUUGUAGGGGUUCAGGUAUUCUGACUGUGCACAUACGUGCUUUGGGGGGGGGGUUUAGAAAAUAAAACUUAGGUACAACUAAAGUCAUAAACGGAUAAAGGUGUGAACCAAGAACCCCAAAACAAAACUCCAGCAACCCUGACUCAGGCAUUGAGAAACAGAGUUGGCAGUUGAAGCCGGGACUCUGCCCGCAUGGCUUCCCGUUUUGAUUGCAGUGUGGCUUUUCCGACCAGUUGUUCUCUUACUUCUGAUGCCCCUUGUUUCUGUCACAUCUUCUUUCAAAACUUUCUGAAAAGCUCCCUUGCCGCCGAUCAGAUAAACUUAUUUCUGAGAUAUUAGAGGCUCUCCAAGAUGCCCUGCCUCCUGAGGUUGUGUGCACCUUGGGGUGUGGUAGCCGUAUCUGAGAGGUUUGCAGGGGCGAGUCCCAGACUUUCUCUGCGCUUCUCCAACCUCAGUGGAGAAUACUGGCCACUACUUUCCAUCCAGCUAGUUCAUCUAGCUUCCUCCUCCAGGUCUAUAGAUUUCCAAAGAAAUGUUUCCCUUCAAACCCAGACCAGCUGCAGGUGAACUCAGAGGCACAGCAUUGGCAAAGCCCCAGGUUCAACUCCCAGGGUCACACACUC
rnacentral:lncRNA from 1 species